rnacentral:tRNA from 1 species
GCUCCGGUGCGGGGAAUCGAACCCCGCUCGCCGCGGAAUUUCAGAAAUGAAAACGCGGUAUGCUAACCGAUACACCACACCGGA